rnacentral:rRNA from 1 species
GAACCAGUACCGUGAGGGAAAGGUGAAAAGCACUUCGAACAGAAGAGUGAAAUAGUCCCUGAACCCAUACGCCUACAAGCAGUCGGAGCCGCUUCGUGCGGUGACGGCGUGCCUUUUGCAUAAUGAGCCUACGAGUUACUCAUCACCAGCGAGGUUAAGUACUUCAGGUACGUAAGCCGAAGCGAAAGCGAGUCUGAAUAGGGCGUCAAGUUGGUGGUGGUAGACGCGAAACCUUAGUGAUCUACCCAUGGGCAGGGUGAAGGUUUGGUAACACAAACUGGAGGCCCGAACCGGUAAACGUUGAAAAGUUUUCGGAUGACCUGUGGGUAGGGGUGAAAGGCCAAUCAAACUGGGAAAUAGCUCGUACUCUCCGAAAUGCAUUUAGGUGCAGCCUCUGUUGUUUUGUUCUAGAGGUAGAGCUACUGAUUGGAUGCGAGGGCUUCACCGCCUAUCAAAUCCGGCCAAACUCCGAAUGCUAGAACAUGAAGACAGGGAGUGAGCCAGCGGGUGCUAAGGUCCGUUGACGAAAGAGGGAGAACUCAGACCAUCAGCUAAGGUCCCCAAUUAUAUGCUAAGUUGGAAUAAAAACGGGGUGGGACUGCUUAGACAGCUAGGAUGUUGGCUUGGAAGCAGCCAUUCAUUUAAAGAGUGCGUAACAGCUCACUAGUCGAGCGGUCCUGCAUGGAUAAUACGCGGGCAUAAGCAUAUAACCGAAGCUAUGGGAUUGUAGAUGAUACAAUCGGUAGGAGAGCAUUCCAUUCAGCAUAGAAGCAGUAUCGUGAGGUAUUGUGGAGCGGAUGGAAAAGCAAAUGUAGGCAUAAGUAACGAUAAUGCGGGUGAGAACCCCGCACGCCGAAAGAUCAAGGAUUCCCCGGCAAUGUCAAUCAUCCGGGGGUAAGUCGGAUCCUAAGGGUAAGCCGAGUGGCGAUCCCGAUGGCAAACAGGUUAAUAUUCCUGUACUGAUCAUAACUGCGAUGCAGCGACGCAGAGGUGACACUGCUGCGUACUGACGGAAUAGUACGUUGAAACCCGUAUUCUUUGAUACCGGUAGUGAAGCACGCCGGUAGAGAUGAAAGGUGAUAGUACCGCAAUGCUUCGGUUGCGCGGAUAAUGCAGGUAAGCUGACUGCCAAGAAAACCUGCUAAGCUUCAGGUAAUGAUCAUCCGUACUGUAAACGGACACACGUGAUCAGGUAGAAAAUACUAAGGCGCUCGAGAGAUUCAUGGUUAAGGAACUAGGCAAAAUGGUCCUGUAACUUCGGGAUAAAGGACGCUCUUGUGAAAGAGCCGCAGAUAAUAGGCCCAGGCGACUGUUUACCAAAAACACAUGGCUAUGCUAAUUCGCAAGAAGAUGUAUAUGGCCUGACACCUGCCCGGUGCCGGAAGGUUAAGAGGAGAGCUCAGAGGUAACUCGAAGGUUUGAAUUGAAGCCCCGGUAAACGGCGGCCGUAACUAUAACGGUCCUAAGGUAGCGAAAUUCCUUGUCGGGU